rnacentral:rRNA from 1 species
UGAGCUGCAGCGGCCUAAACAUGCAAGUCGAGCGGAAGAAUAGAGCUUGCUUUCUGAUUAGCGGCGGAGGGGCGAAUAAUGCCUAGGAAUCUGCCUAUUAGUGGGGGACAACGUUUCGAAAGGAACGCUAAUACCGCAUACGUCCUACGGGAGAAAGCAGGGGACCUUCGGGCCUUGCGCUAAUAGAUGAGCCUAGGUCGGAUUAGCUGGUUGGUGAGGUAAAGGCUCACCAAGGCGACGAUCCGUAACUGGUCUGAGAGGAUGAUCAGUCACACUGGAACUGAGACACGGUCCAGACUCCUACGGGAGGCAGCAGUGGGGAAUAUUGGACAAUGGGCGAAAGCCUGAUCCAGCCAUGCCGCGUGUGUGAAGAAGGUCUUCGGAUUGUAAAGCACUUUAAGUUGGGAGGAAGGGCAGUAAGUUAAUACCUUGCUGUUUUGACGUUACCGACAGAAUAAGCACCGGCUAACUUCGUGCCAG